rnacentral:rRNA from 1 species
CCCUUAGAUGUUCUGGGCCGCACGCGCGCUACACUGAUGCAUUCAACGAGUCUAAAACCUGCUCUGAUAGGGGUGGGUAAUCUUUUGAAUGUGCAUCGUGAUUGGGAUAGAUGAUUGCAAUUUUUCAUCUUCAACGAGGAAUGCCUAGUAAACGCAAGUCAUCAGCUUGCAUUGAUUACGUCCCUGCCCUUUGUACACACCGCCCGUCGCUACUACCGAUUGGAUGGUUUAGUGAGAUCCUCGGAUUGGUCCCGGCGCGGCCUCUGGUCGUGCCGGAGUGCCGAAAAGAAUGUCGAACUUGAUCAUCUAGAGGAAGUAAAAGUCGUAACA